UGGGGAAUUUUGGACAAUGGGCGAAAGCCUGAUCCAGCAAUGCCGCGUGUGUGAAGAAGGCCUUCGGGUUGUAAAGCACUUUUGUCCGGAAAGAAAUCCUUGGCUCUAAUACAGUCGGGGGAUGACGGUACCGGAAGAAUAAGCACCGGCUAACUACGUGCCAGCAGCCGCGGUAAUACGUAGGGUGCAAGCGUUAAUCGGAAUUACUGGGCGUAAAGCGUGCGCAGGCGGUUUGCUAAGACCGAUGUGAAAUCCCCGGGCUCAACCUGGGAACUGCAUUGGUGACUGGCAGGCUAGAGUAUGGCAGAGGGGGGUAGAAUUCCACGUGUAGCAGUGAAAUGCGUAGAGAUGUGGAGGAAUACCGAUGGCGAAGGCAGCCCCCUGGGCCAAUACUGACGCUCAUGCACGAAAGCGUGGGGAGCAAACAGGAUUAGAUACCCUGGUAGUCCACGCCCUAAACGAUGUCAACUAGUUGUUGGGGAUUCAUUUCCUUAGUAACAUAGCUAACGCGUGAAGUUGACCGCCUGGGGAGUACGGUCGCAAGAUUAAAACUUAAAUGAAUUGACGGGGUCAUAGCUGUUUCCU
rnacentral:rRNA from 1 species